CUGGAAACAGCUGCGAAAACAUAUUUUUUUUUUCUUGUUUUACUCAGAAGAACAGUCACAACCCUUUCUUUCUGACUUAAGCCUGGAAAAGUAGCUGUAAUGGCACAAGGGGAACAGCAGAAACGGAGAUUUUUCAGACUCGACUGGGACUGCACAUCAGAUGCCAAGCCACCGAGAGUGGAGGGGAAGAGAGGGAUGUGCUCAAUGGCUUUUUAUUUUAUUUUUUUGGUAGGGAAAUUCUCACCUGGACUGCAGAAGGCAUGAAAUGGACUACACAGUGCUCUAGCAUACAGAUCCAAUCUCCUGUGAAGUGGGUUCUAUCUCAACAACUGAGGGCGUCGGUGGACAUUGUCUGUCAUUUCCCGUUCCAUUCCAUAUCACUCACCAUCUCCAUGUGGAUCCAGAUGAAACUGAUGUGCUGCUCCUGACUCCUUUGAAUCCAAAAAUCCUUCUUUGCUCCAUUUCUGAGAGUUUGAUUUUUUCUCCUUUAACAUCAUACUGAGUCUUUACAGCUCCAUAAACCCAACUUUACUACUCCAUAACUAUCCCAAGUUCAAAUCCAAUUCCAAAUUCAGCCCAAGGGAAAAAGCCACUCACUCCCAAAAACGUGUUCCUAUCCUUCAAAAUUUUUUCCAUUUAUAUUUCAAAUUAGGAUACUAGAUUUUUGAGAGCUGGUGCAGAAGCAACAUGCUGUUUCUUGGAUUUCAGACGGACUUGACUCCUUGCCUGAAGAACACAUUAGAUUCCUGUUUUCUGAGAGAAAUAGAAAUGAAAAGUUAUGCAUGGUGAUGAAAUUAUAAGUAUCUGAGACAGUUGCAGGAGAUACAAACUUGGGUUGAAAGUCUGUUGGAGUCAGGGAAAGCUAUCGCUUACUGCAUUGGCCUUUGGAGCCUCCUGUGGUUCAAAAAAUGUUGGAUUUCUACUGGCUAUCUUAAAGUUAAAUUUUUAGUCUGUUUCUGAUCCUGCUAAGGACAUUUAACCUUUACUGCUUAGGGCAGUAGUGACAAACAGUCAGCGCUGCUCAGGAUCAGGCUGUUGUGCAAGUGUUUUCAAGCGCAAGACAAACAAUUGUUAAUUAUAGUUUUUCAUACUGGCAGACUUCUCUGAAGUCCAGGGCACACACUCAUGAAUUAAUCCUCCUACUCCUGGUAAAAAGGCAAACCCUAGCAUUCUCACUUCUCAGAUGAAACAACUGAGGUAGAGAAGUUAAAUGACAUGAAUGACAUGAUCAAACCACAGAUGCAAGCAAGUGUUAGAGUCAAUAUGAAAGGCCUGCUCUCUGCAUGGCAAUAAACCAGAUGUCUUUCAGCGUGGCGCCUCUCAGUCAGUCCCUACUAACUACAUGCUUCAGUCCCACUGCAGGUAGUUACUUACCUGCAUGAAGUUAACCAAGGCACAUGAGUGCUUUAUAAAACUGGAACCCAAAUACCCCAGAUCCAUACUCACAUUUUCAGACAUUGGUCAAACACAAUGCUGAGGCAAGAGCUCCAGCACAUUUACCACAACCAUAGCUCCACGAAAUUGUCAGACAGCACAACUGUCUCAGGAGCCCACCUUGCUCAAGUGAGCCCUCAAGGGGCCUCCGUUUCCCUGUGUUGCCUGAGUCUGAGCUGUUGGAACUGGAUGGAAAAAGAAGAGAACGAUCUACUGCAGCACUCAGGUUUGUUUCUACUCCCUCCCUGCUUGAGUAAGCAAUGCCUUUCAAUCAGUGAGCCCAAAUAAAUAAACCCAACUCACAACUCGGAUUUGAGUUUGAAGGGAUUUGCUGAGCUGGAUGAGAGCUCUUUAUGUCUUUGAGUAGGUCAGUAUUUGCUGAUGAGCUAGCAGCCCCCUUGGAACCAAUAAAAGACUGGUUUCCUAUAUGUAAAAUAAAAAGGUUCACUUUUUCCGAAGAACUCCUCAUGCAGCAGUUUUUUAGACACACCUAUGAAAUGCAGCCAUAUUUACACUGGAGGAUAGCAACAGCCAAGAGAACAAUAGAAAACCCUUCUCCUUCUCAUAAUGGGAAAGUGAUUAUUGCCAAAAUAACUUGCUUAAAUGAUGGACUAGCUUAAUUAAUAGCUUUGAUCUCAAACAAAUGAAAGCAAAUACAGCAGGCUUAUGAUAAUCCAAAAUAUCCAUAUCAUAUGGUGGCAUGGCAGCAAUCCUUCUACCUGCAGGAAAUGCAGGGAAUCUGUUUUUGAAAUGCAACAUGAACAUUUCAACAGGCAGUCUUUGUACAGAAGCUGUGGGCCUCAAGCUAUACAGCAGAACUUGAUACAGCCAGAGGAUUUGCAGGUACCUCACCAAGGAUGUCUUCUGCAUAUAAAAUAUUCAAAGACAUUAAAAGAAGAAUUGUGCUAUGUGCAGUAGGGUCACCUGGCAAAAAGAGACACCCAAAGAUCCUUUCUUUUUUACAUUUGGAAAGCCAUGUUUUAAAUUAAUAAAGGCUGGAAGUUUUCUGGGAUCCAAGGGAUAUUUUACAAGAAUAGGGAAUACUUGGCAUAGACUCCAAAAGUCCCCUUUGGCCAAUGUGUGUUCAUGGAGAUCUGGUAGAGGACACUGGUGGAAGUGAACAGACUGACGUCUUCUGUCCUAACAGCCAGUGCAAGCAUGAGUUUUCCUAUAUGUCAGACCCUGUAAAAGGUGUGGGUGAUGGUAAUAUGGUAACAUACAUACCACACAACCUGUUGCUUAUGACUAAUGCAUCUGUAGCCACCAAGAUCUUCUCUAAAGUUGACAAGACAAUCCACUGGUCAAAAACUCCCUGCAUGGAGUGGAAUCAUUCCCAGGAGAUGGGACCAUGUAAUUCAAAUGAUUUUGCUGUGACUGGCUGAACAAAUAUGGGGAAAACUCACAAUCUUGGGAUGGAUUGGAGAAUGAAAGCCACCCUGAAGAGCAACACAGUGGAAUGCUUUCAAA